rnacentral:rRNA from 1 species
GUAGGGGGCAAGCGUUAUCCGGAUUUACUGGGUGUAAAGGGAGCGUAGACGGCAUGGCAAGCCAGAUGUGAAAGCCCGGGGCUCAACCCCGGGACUGCUUUGGAAACUGUGCAGCUAGAGUGUCGGAGAGGCAAGCGGAAUNCCUAGUGUAGCGGUGAAAUGCGUAGAUAUUAGGAGGAACACCAGUGGCGAAGGCGGCUUGCUGGACGAUGACUGACGUUGAGGCUCGAAAGCGUGGGGAGCAAACAGGAUUAGAUACCCUGGUAGUCCACGCCGUAAACGAUGACUACUAGGUGUCGGGGAGCAAAGCUCUUCGGUGCCGCAGCCAACGCAAUAAGUAGUCCACCUGGGGAGU